rnacentral:lncRNA from 1 species
UUUUUUCGCAUUUAGCCCUCUGACAAAUUUUUAUUUUAAAAUUAGCCCUGUCAAAAUUUAAUUUGCAAAAAUGGCUCUGGGCGUGCUACGCAAGCGCCACGUCAGCACCAUGCGGGCAGGGCCGGGGCGCGUGUGUUAAGUUGAACACGGUGAACCAUUCACCGUAUUCAAACACGGUGAAUGGUAACACGGUGAAUGGUUCGCCGUGUUUAGUAUGUAUUUUUAUUGAAAUUAAAGAGGAAUAGGAAGUAGGGAUGUCAAUAGGUAUGGAUAUCCGAAAUAUUAUCUGAAUCAAAACCCGAAUAAAUUAUAUAUAUAUAUAUAUAUAUACAUAAUUUAUUUUUAUUUAUUUAUACAAUAUAUAAAAUAUUUAAUACUUUUUAUUUCUUAGAUCUUCAUCCAACGGUAUAGAUUUUUAAAACCCGCUGGGUUCAGGUUCGGAUUUCGAGUUUUUGGUCGGAUAUGGAUAUAGGUAUGAGUUUUUAAAAUCCGUCGGGUUCGGAUCCGGAUUUGGAUUUUAAUUUGAUUUUCGGGUUCGGGUUCGGAUUUUUGAAAAAGAGAAGAAAAGGAAUACAAAUUUCCUAUUCCUCUUUUCAAUAUACAAAAAAUACAUACCAAAUACGGUGAAUGGAGAAUGGUUCACCGUGUUUAACUUAACUACCGCCCCCAGCCCCGCUCGCGUGGCACUGACGUAGUGCCUAUGUGGCAGGUCUAAGAUCAUUUUUGCAAAUUAAAUUUUGACAGAGCUAUUUUUAAAAUAAAAAUUUGCCGGGAGCUAAAUGCAAAAAAAGCCCCCAAAAGAAUCAAGAGAAUUUUCUUGCACAUUUCUCAUGAGCAUUGCUAUGGGUACCCCUAAAUGUCCCUCUUAGAGUCCUCAAUUUAUAUUUCAAGUUGUGAAAUAACUAAUUAGUCUAAAAGCAUAAGCUGCUAGAAAAUAAUAUCAUUUUUUUAAGACCAAUACUUUUUGAUAGGCACUUUAUACAAUAUUCCUUUUUUAAGACUCGAGAUUUCAAGAGAAAAUAUAAAGAGACUCAAAAGUAUUCAAACUCUGAAUUUUCUAUUCUAAUAGUAUGUGAAACAAUCAAUUACUCUCAAAGCUUAAAUUGACAGAAAAUGGCAUCUCUAAUAUCUACAUUCA